ACUCCUACGGGAGGCAGCAGUGGGGAAUAUUGCACAAUGGGCGCAAGCCUGAUGCAGCCAUGCCGCGUGUGUGAAGAAGGCCUUCGGUUGUAAAGCACUUUCAGCAGUGAGGAAGGCGGAGUCGUUAAUAGCGGCCUCGUUUGACGUUAGCUGCAGAAGAAGCACCGGCUAACUCCGUGCCAGCAGCCGCGGUAAUACGGAGGGUGCGAGCGUUAAUCGGAAUUACUGGGCGUAAAGCGCAUGCAGGUGGUUUGUUAAGUCAGAUGUGAAAGCCCGGGGCUCAACCUCGGAAUAGCAUUUGAAACUGGCAGACUAGAGUACUGUAGAGGGGGUAGAAUUUCAGGUGUAGCGGUGAAAUGCGUAGAGAUCUGAAGGAAUACCGGUGGCGAAGGCGGCCCCCUGGACAGAUACUGACACUCAGAUGCGAAAGCGUGGGGAGCAAACAGGAUUAGAUACCCUGGUAGCACAGAG
rnacentral:rRNA from 1 species